rnacentral:rRNA from 1 species
GGGACACGUGGUAUCCUGUCUGAAUAUGGGGGGACCAUCCUCCAAGGCUAAAUACUCCUGACUGACCGAUAGUGAACCAGUACCGUGAGGGAAAGGCGAAAAGAACCCCGGCGAGGGGAGUGAAAAAGAACCUGAAACCGUGUACGUACAAGCAGUGGGAGCACGCUUAGGCGUGUGACUGCGUACCUUUUGUAUAAUGGGUCAGCGACUUAUAUUCUGUAGCAAGGUUAACCGAAUAGGGGAGCCGAAGGGAAACCGAGUCUUAACUGGGCGUUAAGUUGCAGGGUAUAGACCCGAAACCCGGUGAUCUAGCCAUGGGCAGGUUGAAGGUUGGGUAACACUAACUGGAGGACCGAACCGACUAAUGUUGAAAAAUUAGCGGAUGACUUGUGGCUGGGGGUGAAAGGCCAAUCAAACCGGGAGAUAGCUGGUUCUCCCCGAAAGCUAUUUAGGUAGCGCCUCGUGAAUUCAUCUCCGGGGGUAGAGCACUGUUUCGGCAAGGGGGUCAUCCCGACUUACCAACCCGAUGCAAACUGCGAAUACCGGAGAAUGUUAUCACGGGAGACACACGGCGGGUGCUAACGUCCGUCGUGAAGAGGGAAACAACCCAGACCGCCAGCUAAGGUCCCAAAGUCAUGGUUAAGUGGGAAACGAUGUGGGAAGGCCCAGACAGCCAGGAUGUUGGCUUAGAAGCAGCCAUCAUUUAAAGAAAGCGUAAUAGCUCACUGGUCGAGUCGGCCUGCGCGGAAGAUGUAACGGGGCUAAACCAUGCACCGAAGCUGCGGCAGCGACGCUGAUGCGUUGUUGGGUAGGGGAGCGUUCUGUAAGCCUGCGAAGGUGUGCUGUGAGGCAUGCUGGAGGUAUCAGAAGUGCGAAUGCUGACAUAAGUAACGAUAAAGCGGGUGAAAAGCCCGCUCGCCGGAAGACCAAGGGUUCCUGUCCAACGUUAAUCGGGGCAGGGUGAGUCGACCCCUAAGGCGAGGCCGAAAGGCGUAGUCGAUGGGAAACAGGUUAAUAUUCCUGUACUUGGUGUUACUGCGAAGGGGGGACGGAGAAGGCUAUGUUGGCCGGGCGACGGUUGUCCCGGUUUAAGCGUGUAGGCUGGUUUUCCAGGCAAAUCCGGAAAAUCAAGGCUGAGGCGUGAUGACGAGGCACUACGGUGCUGAAGCAACAAAUGCCCUGCUUCCAGGAAAAGCCUCUAAGCAUCAGGUAACAUCAAAUCGUACCCCAAACCGACACAGGUGGUCAGGUAGAGAAUACCAAGGCGCUUGAGAGAACUCGGGUGAAGGAACUAGGCAAAAUGGUGCCGUAACUUCGGGAGAAGGCACGCUGAUAUGUAGGUGAAGUCCCUCGCGGAUGGAGCUGAAAUCAGUCGAAGAUACCAGCUGGCUGCAACUGUUUAUUAAAAACACAGCACUGUGCAAACACGAAAGUGGACGUAUACGGUGUGACGCCUGCCCGGUGCCGGAAGGUUAAUUGAUGGGGUCAGCGCAAGCGAAGCUCUUGAUCGAAGCCCCGGUAAACGGCGGCCGUAACUAUAACGGUCCUAAGGUAGCGAAAUUCCUUGUCGGGUAAGUUCCGACCUGCACGAAUGGCGUAAUGAUGGCCAGGCUGUCUCCACCCGAGACUCAGUGAAAUUGAACUCGCUGUGAAGAUGCAGUGUACCCGCGGCAAGACGGAAAGACCCCGUGAACCUUUACUAUAGCUUGACACUGAACAUUGAGCCUUGAUGUGUAGGA